UUCAAUAAAAAUAUAUUUUUUAAAAAAAGAAAAGAAAGUGACAGCAAGAGGCAGGAAAUCCCUUCCUAGCCAUGGAAAAGCAUUUUCUUGUUUAUCAGCAAAGCUGUCACCAUUCAAUUGGUAGCAGAUUCUGACUUGCACAAGUAGCAUUC